rnacentral:rRNA from 1 species
GACGAACGCUGGCGGCGUGCUUAACACAUGCAAGUCGAACGGAAAGGCCCUGCUUUUGUGGGGUGCUCGAGUGGCGAACGGGUGAGUAACACGUGGGUAACCUGCCCUUGACUUUGGGAUAACUUCAGGAAACUGGGGCUAAUACCGGAUAGGAGCUCCUGCUGCAUGGUGGGGGUUGGAAAGUUUCGGCGGUUGGGGAUGGACUCGCGGCUUAUCAGCUUGUUGGUGGGGUAGUGGCUUACCAAGGCUUUGACGGGUAGCCGGCCUGAGAGGGUGACCGGCCACAUUGGGACUGAGAUACGGCCCAGACUCCUACGGGAGGCAGCAGUGGGGAAUAUUGCACAAUGGGCGGAAGCCUGAUGCAGCAACGCCGCGUGCGGGAUGACGGCCUUCGGGUUGUAAACCGCUUUCGCCUGUGACGAAGCGUGAGUGACGGUAAUGGGUAAAGAAGCACCGGCUAACUACG